UGGUGGUGACAAGAAGUACAUUCGGAAUUACAUGCCAGUCUACUAUGACUGUAUUUAUUCUGAGCGAAAGUCCCUGGGUCAUUGAACUGAAAGAGUUGCAGCGUAAGUGCUGCUACGCGGCCUUAGAAUAUUCUUCACAGGCGUAUUAUGUCAUGAAGCGAGCUAAUUGUGGAGCAUUUGCGUCUGGCGCCGUUGUCACCGAAAGCAAAGAGACGUACAAAUCUAACAGCAUAGGGCUCACUCUGUCUGCCACU
rnacentral:RNase_MRP_RNA from 1 species